GAUGAACGCUGGCGGCGUGCCUAAUACAUGCCAGUCGAACGCUGAAGGAAGGAGCUUGCUCUUUCCGGAUGAGUUGCGCACGGGUGAGUAACGCGUAGGUAACCUGCCUGGUAGCGGGGGAUAACUAUUGGAAACGAUAGCUAAUACCGCAUAACAGUAGAUGUUGCAUGAUAUCUACUUAAAAGGUGCAAUUGCACCACUACCAGAUGGACCUGCGUUGUAUUAGCUAGUUGGUGAGGUAACGGCUCACCAAGGCGACGUUACAUAGCCGACCUGAGAGGGUGAGCGGCCAGACUGGGACGGAGACACGGCCCAGACUCCUACGGGAGGCAGCAGGAGGGAAUCUGGGGCAAUGGACGGAAGUCUGACCGAGCAACGCCGCGUGAGUGAAGAAGGGUGUCGGAUCGGAAAGCUCUGUUGUAAGAGAAGAACGAGUGUGAGAGUGGAAAGUUCACACUGUGACGGUAUCUGACCAGAAAGGGACGGCUAACUACGUG
rnacentral:rRNA from 1 species